UUGCAGCGCCGACUCCAGGCUGUUUGCAGAGAGCGGCGGUUUCGCCACAGAGUGCCGGGAGGCGGGCGUGUUUCGCUUUGCUACAUUCUCGGAAAGGCUCUAGACGGACCCGCCGAGAUGGUCGCGGGCUUUAAGGCGCUUUCAGUUAAAGGACGGGGAGAAGCUAAGUGCGCGCGGCCCGCGUAGAAGUGCUCAGGGGAGGGAGUUCGAGCCGAGCCGGAGCAACCGUUGGAGGGGAACGGACAAACUGCAGAAAUGCCUUGCGAGGACAUGGUGAGAAGGCAGCCAGAUGUCAGCAAGCCAGGAAGAGUACUGACCAGAAAUCAAAUCUGCUGGAAACUGGAUUGUGGACUUCUAGCCCCUGGAACUGUGAGAAAAUGAAUUUCUUUUGUUUCAAACACCCACUCUAGUAUUUUUUAUGACAGCCAAAGCAGUCUAGUACUGUGGUGAAUUACAUCGCUUAAAAAAUUUGCAUUCUUUUGAUAAAAAGAAUAUAUAUAUAUUUUUUUUAUAUAAAUUUAUUUAUUAUAUAAAAAGAAUCUUGGGGGCGCCUGGGUGGCUCAGUGGGUUGGAGCCUCUGCCUUUGG